rnacentral:tRNA from 1 species
ACCGACCUUAGCUCAGUUGGUAGAGCGGAGGACUGUAGUAGGCAGUAGCUAACAGCUAAUCCUUAGGUCGCUGGUUCGAAUCCUGCAGGUCGGAU